rnacentral:tRNA from 1 species
AGUACUAUGCCGGAUUAAACGGAUUACAUUGAUGUUGUAAAAAAUAAGAUUAUUUCUUUAGUACUU